rnacentral:rRNA from 1 species
AUUGAACGCUGGCGGAAUGCUUUACACAUGCAAGUCGAACGGCAGCACGGACUUCGGUCUGGUGGCGAGUGGCGAACGGGCGAGUAAUGUAUCGGAACGUGCCCAGUCGUGGGGGAUAACGUAGUGAAAAUUACGCUAAUACCGCAUACGAUCUAUGGAUGAAAGCGGGGGAUCGCGAGACCUCGCGCGAGUGGAGCGGCCGAUAUCAGAUUAGGUAGUUGGUGGGGUAAAGGCCCACCAAGGCAACGAUCUGUAGCUGGUCUGAGAGGACGACCAGCCACACUGGAACUGAGACACGGUCCAGACUCCUACGGGAGGCAGCAGUGGGGAAUUUUGGACAAUGGGCGAAAGCCUGAUCCAGCCAUUCCGCGUGCAGGAUGAAGGCCCUCGGGUUGUAAACUGCUUUUGUACAGAACGAAAAGGUUUCUACUAAUACUAGGAGCUCAUGACGGUACUGUAAGAAUAAGCACCGGCUAACUACGUGCCAGCAGCCGCCGUAA